UGGUCAAGGUGAGACAGUGACCUGGUGAAUAGCCCUAACCCUUCCUGGACAGCCUGCCUGACGUCAAGGUGAGACAGUGACAUGGUGAAUAGCCCUAACCCUUCCUGGACAGCCUGCCUGACGUCAAGGUGAGACUGCGGGAACAUUCUGUGACCAUAUUUCCAUUUGACUAGGACCCAGCAACUAUUGGAGAGACCCAUUGUCUAUUCCUGUUCUU